rnacentral:rRNA from 1 species
UACGGGGGGGGUAAGCGUUGUUCGGAAUUACUGGGCGUAAAGGGCUCGUAGGCGGCCAACUAAGUCAGACGUGAAAUCCCUCAGCUUAACUGAGGAACUGCGUCUGAUACUGGAUGGCUUGGAUUCGGGAGAGGGAUGCGGAAUUCCAGGUGUAGCGGUGAAAUGCGUAGAUAUCAGGAGGAACACCAAUGGCGAAGGCAGCUCGCUGGGACGGUACUGACGCUGAGACGCGAAAGCGUGGGGAGCAAACAGG